rnacentral:lncRNA from 1 species
UUGAGCAUUGUUCUUAAUUAGAUUUUGUGAUUCAGAUUUGUGCAUGAUGAAGACACAAGCAAGCGAACCCGUCAUUCCAUCUCAAAGUGAUAAUGAUAAAGGGUAUCCACUACACCAACCACCACACCAACCACAACCACCACACCAUUCCCCACCCCACCAAGCACCACCACCACACCACCACCACCAUCGACACCACCCACGUCACUCGCCACCACCACACCAAGCACCACCACCACACAUAGCACAACCACAAUUCCGUCGAGCACCACCUCCACCUUAUUGAGUCAUCUUU